AGUGUUGUUUUACCUCACUUUUGGUAUACAGUUCAGCCUCGUCUCUUGAGGUUGAGCUGUAUGGCUCGGGCGACCACAUCCAGGCAACAUGGAAGACAACGAGGACUCUGUACUGAAGAACAUCUAUAUUGACGGCAUAGUGACACAACAUUGCCUGUCACCACUUCAUAUAUUAAGUGACGCCAGCCUUUGAUAUUUUUUUUCCAGAAAAUGACUUCACUAAAUGUUAGUUGUGAAAUAUUAAAAUUGAAACCAACUCA